AAAUUUAGGUUUUGUAUGCAAGACGAAAAUAAACAUGCCAAAUGCAGUGAUUCAAUUGGCAAGGAAAAAACUAUGAAUGAAUGGUGUUGUUGGGGUUUACAAUUUAAUCUUAUCCACUCUCUUAUAUCUACUCUUCUUAUUUAAUUUUCUUAUUUAUCAUAUUGUCAUGCAAACUUUCUUGGUGUACCCUUAAUCCAAUCUCUUGGCGAAAAGAGCCUACUACUAAUUACCGGCUUGCUAUCUCUAGCCUCCCCUAGUAACUAAUAAUGCAUGAUAAACAGAAGCAAAAUACAAUUGAUCGUCCUACCCCUAUCUCUAGGCGGUAUUAGCUUAAUCAAGGAAUUCCCCCAGUUCAUGACAUUAUUGUACGUCUCCGUAUCAAUAAAGAUAAACAACAUUUACCGAAUGAGUUAAACGAUAAAAGCAUUAAGCAAAGGUAAGGAACCCAACAAUUGAUAAAUCAAGCAUAUGCAAGCAUAUAAAGUAAAUAAGAAUUUGGAU
rnacentral:lncRNA from 1 species